ensembl:lncRNA
GUAUGUUGCUAGUCCAGUAGCUAGAGUGGCUAGUAAGUGUUAGCUAGCACAUGCUGUUUUGCCUUUGUUACAGUACACACUGUGCCUAGCAAGUUUUGUGCUGUGUUGCUACUGUACUGGAUUUAAGGCGAUUAUGAUUUCUAAUUCUCUGAACUGCUGUACUUUUUAUGUUAGAGGAAAAUUCUGUGUUCACUUGAAUCACAACACUCAACACACAAUACAUUUUAUUUUUAACAAUUUCACUGUUCCACAUUUGGCUGAUAAUGUUUCCCCCCCACAGCAUAGCUACUGUAUAUUCCUAAAGUUAACAAUCCGGUUUUGUUCACAUUUUCUUGCAGAUACCUUGGCCAGAGCAUAACCGGUUAUCUUCACCCAAGAGACCUACUAUUGGUCAAUCCUUUUGGCUUUAAAGGUAAAUGCAUUGUUAGUCACAAUGUCUAGUUACUGGGCCAAAAGGAAAAUAAUAUUGAAAAGAGUUGAGAGGGACAAACAGGACAUUCACUUGAAUCACUACAUGCUACAGAAGUUGCAUCGAUUCCAGAAAACCAGGAAAAUGUUGAGCCAUCGGUAGACUUCAGAGCUGAAACAGGUUUCUCCCCAGUAAUCCAGACCCCACUUCACAGAGCCAAGAGUUUGAGUACAAGGCACUUGACUUUCUGGAUAAAAGGUGUCGAGCUCGUCAAGUACUAAGCUUUACACCACCAGCAGCAAAUUUACCCUGGCAGCACAUGGGUGAAAACGCUGGAGGAGAAAGUCAUCGCUUUGUUAUUGGCCCUUGGACGCCCCUGGCAUCUCGUGUACAGCACAAAGUUUUCAGCUAUGAAGAGACUCCAGAAUGAAAACCAAGUUCUGAGGGAGAAGAACCAAGCACUGAGGGAAUGCAAUGCACAAGCAGCUUCGAAUGACAGCGGCUCACUUCAAGAGCAGGUGAAGCAAGUAGGGACAAUGUUGAAGACGUUUGCUCUCACUGGGCAAUCAGGUGCGUUACCUGAAAGGAGCAUCUGACCGUGAAGGCAGAAAAAGGCGCCGCACAACUGAGAAGGACCCACAGCCGAUCCCUUAAACCUAGGCUGACUACUGACACCCCAGCAUUACUGAACUGGAACACUUUCUUUAUCCUGCAGUCAGUAACAUCAAGAAGCUAGAAGUGUCAGACUACACUCACCAAAUCCACCCUGUUUUUUUUGUAUUUUAACUUUAGUAUUGGCUUAUUUCAUUCCGUCUUAACGAUUCUAUUAUAGUUUGUAAAUCCUAUUUCAUACCUGUUACUUGAUAUUGCACAUUAACUAGUACCAAAAUUCUACUUUCAUUUCAUCAGUGUGCUUAACUGUUAUUCUGUUGUUAAAUAUAGCUUGUAAAUCCUUGUGCCACAGGUCAGCAUUGCAGUUAUAAUGGUCAAUUCUACUACUGUUUUUACCUCUGUAUUUUUAUAUAAAUAUAUAUGUCAAGUUUUGUUUAUCACAGAUACAAGAGACACAGAUCUUAUUGCAGCACGGUGUAAAUCUUGUGCUCCAGGUCAGCAAUGCCAUUAUAAUGGUCUAUUCUACUCUAGAGCUUUACUCUAAAUUAUUACCACUUUUCCUAUUGUUAGAAAUGGCUUGAAAAUGUGAUGUUAUACCUCGAUUUAUUUGGUAUCCUGCACAUUCUUUGUACCAAAUAUCCUCAUUACUUAUGUUUACUGGUAAUUAUUUUCAUCCCAGAGCUGACCUCUUUAUAUUAUUAACAAUUAUUGUGUUUGUGUUAUAAUUUGCUUGUAUGGCUUUUUUUUUAACCAAAAUUAAAUUGGAAACCUGCAUGUUCUGUAGUGUGUAUUUAUAUGUAUAUUUUUUUC